rnacentral:tRNA from 1 species
ACCUCCAUAGCUCAGUUGGACAGAGCGUAGGACUUCUAAUCUCAAGGCCGCAGGUUCGAUUCCUGACUGGGGGCU